UGAAAUUGAAGUCACCAAAGCACAGGUACCAGGACCAGCGGACGAGAACUGGAACAAGUUUUACCAAGAGGUAUAUGCGGCCGAAGCAGACACUUAUGGAAUACUCAUGAAUUCCUUCCAAGAAUUGGAGCCUGAGUAUCAAAGAAUGUACAAGAAGGUUAGAAAGGAUAAAGUGUGGUGCAUCGGUCCGGUGUCACUAAGCAACAAGGAUCAGUUGGACAAGGCUCAAAGAGGCAACAAGGUUUCAACUGAAGGGUGGAUGCACCAAAAAUGGCUUGAUUCUCAAAAGCCUAAGAGUGUAAUUUAUGUAUGCCUUGGAAGUUUAUGUAAUCUAACUGCAACUCAGUUGAUUGAGAUUGGUUUAGCCUUAGAAGAAUCAAAGAGACCUUUCAUUUGGGUCAUAAGGGAAGGGAGUCAAUUAAAAAGGCUAGAAAAGUGGAUUAAGGAAGAUGGGUUUGAAGAAAGAAUCAAAGAUCAGAGCCUUAUAAUUCGAGGUUGGGCUCCUCAGCUACUAAUACUAUCACAUCCUUCAAUUGGAGGGUUCUUGACACACUGUGGCUGGAACUCUAACUUAGAAGCUAUAUGCGCCGGUGUGCCAAUGCUGACGUGGCCGUUAUUUGCAGACCAGUUUCUGAAUGAAAAACUAGUUGUCAAAGUACUAAAAAUUGGAGUGAUGGUUGGUGUGAGAAGUCCUAUGGUGUGGGGGAAGGAAGAGGAGAUUGGUGUAUUAGUUAAGAAAGAAGAUAUUAAAAUAGGACUAGAACAGUUAAUGGAUGAGAAUAAUGGUGAAUGUGAAGAGAGAAGGGAAAGGGUAAGAAAGUUAGCGAAAAUGGCUAAAAUAUCUGUAGCAGAAGGUGGAUCUUCUCAUAGUAACUUGACUAUGUUUAUCCAAGAUAUUUUGCAUAAAAGCAUGGGAGGUAUAUGAUAAUCUAAUUGUCAAAAACUAAUGGCACAAAAUCAUGAUUAUUUUGUUCCAUAGUACUAUUAUAUGGAGUAAAAAUCAAUAUGGAGGCUCCAAUAAGAAUUUUAUGUUUUUUGUAAAGCAUGUCAUCAAUUAGUAUUGGUAUUAGCAAAUUUAUGUAAGAAAAAAAUUUCCCUCCAUUAUAUUAAGUGUUUUUUUUUUCAUUUUUUUUUUUGCUGUAAAUUAUGUGUCAUUUUCUAUUUUCAAAAAGUCAUUAAUUAAAUUUUUACCUAUUAUGCCUUUUAUUAUUAAAUAAAAGAAGAAAGUUAGAAACUUUAGAGAGUAAAGUUUGAUCUCUCACCAUUUAUAUAAAUAUGAAAGAGAAAUCAUUCAAGGGUAGAAAAAUCACACUUUACUCUCUAAAGUAAAAUUCAAACUUUAGAAGAUCCAAAUCCAAAUCAAUUAUUGUGUAUUAGCACACAUUUUAUGUAUACAUGUUUUAUUAAUAAAAAAUAUUACAUGCAUAUUAAAAAUUAACUAAUAAAUUAAUUAUUAUGUAUUUAUAUAUAUUUAUAUAUUGAUUCACAUAGUUUUUUUCAACUAAAUAAUCAGCUACUAAAAUAAUCAAACUUAUCAUAAUAGAAUAAAGAAAUUUUUAAUAGACCAAUGGGUUUAACUAAUAUGCACAUGUUAAGAUUAUUAUUAAUAGAAUUAAUAAAUAAACAAAAAAUGCAUUGAAAAUGUAAACUUCAUAUUUUUACUACACAAAUUUUCUUACUUGGUAAUAUUAAUAUGUAUGUUUAGGACACAUAUUAGCUAAAUCCUAAACCAAUAAUCAAACAUAUUUACAGAAUAUUUUUGAUAAAAUGCCAAAUAGAUAUUUCUAUAUGUUGAUUAGUGAUAGCAUGAUUGUUUAUUAAUGGAAUAAUCAAUCAUCAAAAUAAUCAAAAUUUUCUUUACCAAAUAAUCAAAUUUUCUAACAAUAGAAUAAUCAAACUUUUUAUUAACAACUAAAAAACAUGAGUUAUUGCUGUAUUUUUGUAUUUUUAUUAUAUUUUGAUAAUAGAUGUGAAUUUGAUUUUUAAAUAUAUUAUUUAUAAAAUUUGAUUAUAAAUGUAACUAUGAUGUCAUUCAUUUUUCUAUGCAAAUGGUUGAUUAGUCAUGUACUCAUGUUCAUAAGAUGAUGCAGGAUUAGUUAAGAUAGUAAACUUUUUAGUCUCAUAAUCAAAGAUAUUUAGUUCAAAUCUUAGGAGAAAAAAUGAAUAAAAGAUUAAAAUUUAAAGGGGCCAAACUAAUAUUUUUCUUUUCUUAGUAGAAACAAUGGAAUAAUCAAAAUCAGGUCACAAAAAUCCCAGCAAAUAAGACCACGAAGCAUUUACUCUAAUUUAACUUAACAAUGGUAGUAUCAAAACCAUUAAUAUGAUCCCAGAAUAAGUACAAAAUUUUGAUUAAAAAACCCAAAAUUACAUGAUGUUAAGAUUAUCUAACUAGGAGUCCUUAAUUAUUCACAUUUCUUCUUUAUCAAAAUGCAAUUCAAAUGGACAUUCAGUAACAAAAAACAUUUCACCAAGUUAAUAUAUUCUAAGAUGAAGAAAAUCUGUAUGACUUUAUGCUUAGCGACAUUUCACCAAGUGGUUAAGAGACGGACAGAGAAAUGAGAUAUACAUAGAAACAUUGAAACGUACAAAUAAUUUCUGAGGAAGACACAUGAUGUAUAUAGGUUGUGUGCUAACAGACGAAAGAAGCGCCAAAAUACUUAAAAAUCAGUGGUAGAUUAGUGAUGUGAGACACAAAAAAAUAAAUAAAAUAAAAUAGAAUAAAAAUUUAUACAAUGAUAUAUAACUGGCUGAUGUAGACACUGAUAUCACCAAGAAAGGAAUGCAGUUUAUAAAUAUCUUCCAAGUGAAAUUAUUCAGUGGACUAAAUCAUAUCCAGAGAAACAAUAAUGGCUUCCCAAACACCUCAGCUCCACUUCGUUAUCUUCCCAUUCAUGGCACAAGGCCACAUGAUUCCCAUAAUGGACUUAGCAAAGUUAUUGCUUCAGCGCAAUAAUGUUAUUGUCACGGUAGUCACAACCCCGCAAAAUGCAGCAAGAUUCACAUCAACCUUUGCUCGUUUAAUCAAUUCCGGUUACCAAAUUCGACUAAUUCAGCUUCAGUUUCCAUAUAAAGAGGCAGGUUUGCCAGAAGGGUGUGAGAAUCUUGACAUGCUUCAUUCACUAGGCAAUGCCUUGAGUUUAUUCACUGCACUAAGUGUUCUAAGGGAGCCUGUGGAAAAACUCUUUGAAGAGUUGUCGCCCCCACCAAGUUGCAUAGUCUCCGAUAUAUGUCUCCCAUACACAAUCCACAUUGCUAAGAAAUUCAAUGUUCCAAGGAUUUCUUUUUCCGGAGUGAGUUGCUACUAUCUCGUCUGUAACGAUGCUUUGCGCAUCAGUAAUGUGACGGAGAGCAUAAAGGAUGAAUCAGAGUACUUCAUUAUACCGAGUCUACCAGACGAGAUUGAAGUCACCAAAGCGCAGGCACUAAGUCUAGCGGAUGAGAACUGGAACAAGUUUUAUCAAGAGAUAUACGCGGCCGAAGCAGACACUUAUGGAAUAAUCAUGAAUUCCUUCCAAGAGUUGGAGCCUGAGUAUGCAAGCAUAUACAAGAAGCAUAGAAAGGAUAAAGUGUGGUGCGUUGGUCCGGUGUCAUUAAGCAACAAAGAUCAAUUGGACAAGGCUCAAAGAGGCAACAUGGUUUCAACUGAAGAGUGGAUGCACCAAAAAUGGCUUGAUUCUCAAAAGCCUAAGAGUGUAAUUUAUGUAUGUCUUGGAAGUUUAUGUAAUCUAACUGCAACUCAGUUGAUUCAGAUUGGUUUAGCCUUAGAAGAAUCAAAAAGACCUUUUAUUUGGGUCAUAAGAAAAGGAAGUCAAUCAGAAGUGCUAGAAAAGUGGAUUAAGGAAGAUGGGUUUGAAGAAAGAAUCAAAGAUCAGAGCCUUAUAAUUCGAGGUUGGGCUCCUCAACUGCUAAUACUAUCACAUCCUUCAAUCGGAGGGUUCUUGACACAUUGUGGCUGGAACUCUAACUUAGAAGCUAUAUGUGCUGGUGUGCCAAUGCUGACAUGGCCCUUAUUUGGCGACCAGUUUCUGAAUGAAAAACUAGUUGUCAAAGUACUAAAAGUUGGAGUGAUGAUUGGUGCGAAAAGUCCUAUGGAGUGGGGGAAAGAAGAGGAGGUUGGUGAACUGGUUAGGAAAGAAGAUAUUAAAAUAGGAAUAGAAAAGUUAAUGGAUGGGAAUAAUGGUGAAUGUGAAGAGAGAAGAGAAAGGGUAAGAAAGUUAGCGGAAAUGGCUAAAAUAUCUGUAGCAGAAGGUGGAUCUUCUCAUAGUAACUUGACUAUGUUUAUCCAAGAUAUUUUGCAUAAAAGCUUGGGGGCCGUAUAUGAUAAUCUAGUUGACAAAAACUAAUGGCACAAUAUCUGUUUGCAUAUGUAUGAUUAUUCUGUUCCAUAGUGCUAUUAAUAUGGAAUAAAUAUCAAUAUGGAGGCUCCCAACAAGGAACUUAUGUUUAUUUGGAAAGCAUGCCAUAAAUUAGUACCGUAUUAGGAAAUCUUUGUAAGAAAAAAAUUAAUAAAUAAUCCUGUAUGCCCAAUUUGUAAUUAUGAGCCUGAAACUAUUAAACAUUGUCUAUUAAGAUGUCAAUGUACAUAUCUCCUAGUGAGCAGAAUGUUUGAUCUCUAAACAAUUGGUUAUUAAAACUUAAUUCAACGGAUGAGGGACUUGGGCAGAUUUCGCUGGCAGCAAAUGUUAUUUGGGAAAUUUGGAAAUCUAGAAAUGAAUCUGUUUAAAACAGUUUCUAAUCCACAGAACAAAAUCAUCAAAGCAAACAUACUUUAAAGAGAAGGAAUAAAACAACCCAAGCAAUUCGAGAUCAAGAUCAAAAUCAAAGAAAAGAGGGAUUUACCGUUUGGAGGCCUCCGCCGCAGAUUGUUUGAAGUUGGUGUUUGGGCGGCUAGAAUGACAAAUUCAGUUGCCCAAUUGCAUCUGAAACAGUGCCUUCCAUUGACUUGAGGUCGAGCAUGGUUAAGGGAGAAGAUAAAUUGCUUCAUUGCUUGCAUGCUUUCAUUUGUGUGAGUGGAAAUAUGCUUUCUUUUUCUCUCCUCCUCUAGUGUUUGUUAUUUUCUUUCAAUUGAGACCUCUCUUAUAAGUUAUAACCCCCAAACUCAAUU
rnacentral:lncRNA from 1 species